rnacentral:misc_RNA from 1 species
CACAUGUGUUUUUUAUUGAACAAAUUUCUUUGGUGGCGGGAGCAAUCCUACCGCCAGAGGUUAUAACUAAACCAAACUUUUUAUUUACAGUCAAACUUGAUUUAUUAUUACAAUAGUCAAAACUUUCAACAACGGAUCUCUUGGUUCUCGCAUCGAUGAAGAACGCAGCGAAAUGCGAUACGUAAUAUGAAUUGCAGAUAUUCGUGAAUCAUCGAAUCUUUGAACGCACAUUGCGCCCUUUGGUAU